rnacentral:tRNA from 1 species
CGGGGUGUGGCGCAGCUUGGUAGCGCGCCUGCUUUGGGAGCAGGAGGUCGGAGGUUCGAAUCCUCUCGCCCCGACCU